AACGAACGUUGAUGGCGUGCCUCAUACAUGCAAGUCGAGCGGGUAGCAAUACCAGCGGCGGACGGGUGAGUAACACGUAAACAAUCUGCCCUAAAGCGGGGGAUAACUAUCCCAACGGAUAGCUAAUACCGCAUGAGGAUGGGGACGGCAUCGUCCCUUCUCGAAAGCCUUCGGGCGCUUUAGGAUGAGUUUGCGGCCCAUUAGCUUGUUGGCGGUGUAACGGACCACCAAGGUGACGAUGGGUAUCCGGCCUGAGAGGGUGUACGGACACAUUGGGACUGAGAUACGGCCCAGACUCCUACGGGAGGCAGCAGUAGGGGAUUUUGCGCAAUGGAGGAAACUCUGACGCAGCAACGCCAUGUGUGGGAUGAAGCAUUUCGGUGUGUAAACCACUGUCAGCAGGGAAUAAAUGGUCGCUUCGGCGGCAGUUGAAUGUACCUGCAGGGGAAGCCCCGGCUAACUUCGUGCCAGCAGCCGCGGUAAUACGAGGGGGCAAAUGUUG
rnacentral:rRNA from 1 species